GAUGAACGCUGGCGGCGUGCCUAAUACAUGCAAGUAGAACGCUGAAGCUUGGUGCUUGCACCGAGCGGAUGAGUUGCAAACGGGUGAGUAACGCGUAGGUAACCUGCCUCUUAGCGGGGGAUAACUAUUGGAAACGAUAGCUAAUACCGCAUAAAAGUUGACAUUGCAUGAUGUUGAUUUGAAAGAUGCAAUUGCAUCACUAAGAGAUGGACCUGCGUUGUAUUAGCUAGUUGGUUAAGUAACGGCUCACCAAGGCGACGAUACAUAGCCGACCUGAGAGGGUGAUCGGCCACACUGGGACUGAGACACGGCCCAGACUCCUACGGGAGGCAGCAGGAGGGAAUCUUCGGCAAUGGACGGAAGUCUGACCGAGCAACGCCGCGUGAGGGAAGAAGGGUUUCGGAUCGUAAAGCUCUGUUGUAAGAGAAGAACGAGUGUGAGAGUGGAAAGUUCACACUGUGACGGUAACUUACCAGAAAGGGACGGCUAACUACGUG
rnacentral:rRNA from 1 species